ACCUUACAGAUCCGUAUAACUAUUUUUGAGCGUUCGCACUGCAGUACAGACGCGGAGAGCAGUCCAGGUUUCUUUUUCUGUGAACCGGAUUCUUUCUAUUCAAUUCUUGAAUUCCGCGUUCGUGGUUAGUGCAGUGUGAUGUGUGAUGAAGCAAAUAGCAAGAAGAAGAGUAAGGAGGAUGGAGAUGAAACCGAUAAACGGUGUUCAACUUUCAAUAAGAAAAAACGGCUUGUGUUAUCGGCACAUCGCUACUCAAAGAGUAAAAAGCGUCGAGAAAACCGAAGAUUGAAAAACGCGACGUCUCUUGCGGUAAGUCAAGACCUCGUUACCUCGCCGGAAGAAGAUAAUACUGCAGGUACUUCUCAUGAAGUAGUACUUGCAAGUACUUCUACCAACACAAUACCUCAAGAAGACGUAGGAAAUUUGGAAGAGGUCAUUCAAGAAGAAACGAAUGAAGAUAUUGAAGAUUGUGCAGAUAACGACUGCAACUGGGUGGUAGAAGAAGAUGAACCACAACAGGCGGAAGAAACAAUUCCAGAGGCGAUAGAGUUCGCAAAUUUCUCGUACAUGUUCCAGCAAAUGAAACGUUUACAGCAACAUUCCACGAUUGGCUGCGGCAUCGAACAUUGUCAAAUAAUUGAAUGCCAACAGUACGGUUUAGAGAAAACGUACAGUGUCCAGUGCCAAAUGUGCAAUCAUGUAGAGCGCAUAUCCUGCCUUCGGCAGAGUAAAGACACAAUGGGCAUUAACCACGCCGCUGUGUCUGCAACAAUGGUGACAGGCGGCGGAUACAAUCAGCUGGAGGAACUGUUGUCCGGUAUAAAUGUAUCCUGCAUGUCGAGAAGAAUUUAUAAGAAAUGUCAGAAUGACAUAAUCGAUGCAUUCGAAGUGGCCGCACAACGUGAAAUGGAAGAUGCUGCGAAAGAGGAAAGGGAACUAGCCAUAGCAAGAGGCGAUGUAUUACCAGGGUGUAAUAUACCGUGGAUCGCAGUAGUCGCAGAUGGAAGUUGGAUGAAACGGUCAUACCGCGGAGGAGAUUAUAAUUCUCUCUCUGGCGUAGGAGUCAUCGUGGGUUAUAACACCCAGAAAGUGCUACACGCAAACGUGAAGAACAAAUUUUGCAUGAUUUGCCAAACGGCGGCGAAAAAAAAGGAAGAAGCGCACGAGCAUCGGUGCUUUAAAAACUGGGGUCGUAAUCAGAGUUCGACUGGCAUGGAAAGUGCUGCUAUAAUCGAAGGUUUUAAAUGCAGUAUAGAAAUGCGUGGCCUUGUUUACUCCAUACUAGUUGCCGAUGGCGAUAGCAGUGUGUACAAAAAGAUAUUGGACAAUGAUCCAUAUAAAGAGUAUAUGGUGCAAGUACGAAAAAUAGAAUGCACCAAUCACCUGCUACGGAAUUUCAGUAGAAAAAUUAAUGACAUCGGAGCAAAAGGCAGAUGCAAAGAGCUAAGAGCUGUCGUAAAGGCUAAUGCUCUCCGCCUGCGUACUGCUGUAAAGAAAGCAGCAGAAUACCGGUUCAAAGAAAAAUUAAGACUCGUAGAUCAAAUAAAAAAUUUAAAAGAAGACAUGAAAAAUGUACCGAGUCACGUUUUCGGAGAACACAAGGAGUGUCAGAGAUUAGCAUACUUCUGCAAGAAAUACUCUGACUCAAAUAUUGUGAACUACGUUCCACAAUUGAUGCAAGCUGGUAUUUUUCAAAAUAUACAAGAAGCGAUGCAACCACUUUUCGCCCAAGCCGAAAGUUUGCUGUACUCUCUAAACAAUAAUGCUGUUGAGAGUUUUAAUAAUAUCGUCGCCAAAUUUAUCGGAGGCAAAAGGAUAAAUUUUGGACGAAGAGGUUCCUAUCAAGGUAGAGUCUCCGCUGCUGUCGUACAAUUUAAUACGAAAGAGGCAUUCAGCAAAGUGAGCACGGCAAUGAAUAAACAGCCGACAGCCAUCGCAAAAAGGAUGGAAGAACGUCGCAAGCAUGCAGCGAAAAUGGCAAGAAAAUAUAAACAAGAAGCGAAAGCAUCCUCCUUCCGAAACGAGAAACAAUCGUGCGAUCAGGAUUACGGCCCCAGUGCAGAGAAGCCAGAUAUGGACGAAGCAGUAUACUUUUCGGAGUGUCAAAGGCACUUGGCUAUACUGCAUGAGUGGCAAACGAUGCGAUGCCAGAUUGAAGCAGAAACUCGCGAUCAAGCAAACAGCGAGAAAGGGGGAGGAACAUGUCAUCCUUCCCCCCGGGAUGAGCCUCGACAGGCAAGGCAAGGCGGGGGACUCUGUGAUGGCGGAGGACGGUCACCGUGGGGUUUUAGCCGGUUCUAUUAGUAGUAAUUGCAACUGAAAGGGGCCAGUACCGUUGCAAGAAAAUAUAUAUGAGAAACAGUCAUAAUACAUUCUUCAGAAGAUAUGAAAGCAAGACGUACAGCACGUUAUUUCAAGAGGUGUGGUCCAGAGAAGGUAUCAUAACUGUAGGAAUAAAAUAAUUGCUAGAGCGAUCGAUGAACUCGUAUAAAAGUAGGCAAAGGUUUUGGGUGCUCACGCGUUUUUGUCCGGGACACUCAUUGUUACGAGACGCUCCGAAUAACAAAGCGCGCGUCAAAAUAUGACAAGUGAACGGCCGCAAGGAUGAGUGUGAGAGAGAGAAUGCGAGUGAGUGAGUGUGACAGAGUGAAGGUGCGAUAACCCGCGAGCAGGUCGACAAUAGUAUAUAAGCAGCGUAACAGCUGACGAAAACAAGAGUCUUCAAAAGAGUGUAUAUAGAGCGCGAACACGAGUUUCAGUUGUAUCGAUUACCGGCGAAAUAAAAUAUUUUUAUCACCACGUUCCUUAUUUCUAAAUCCCACAUAACAUAACCUUGAUAUAAUCUUAUGUAUUAUAAUGUGCGUUCGAUAAGUACUUUGUGUAUCAGGCGUUCAUUUAUGUUAGG